rnacentral:rRNA from 1 species
UUAAAUUGAAGAGUUUGAUCAUGGCUCAGAUUGAACGCUGGCGGCAGGCCUAAUACAUGCAAGUCGAGCGGAAACGAUGGGAGCUUGCUCUCAGGCGUCGAGCGGCGGACGGGUGAGUAACGCGUAGGAAUCUACCCAGUAGCGGGGGAUAGCCCGAGGAAACUCGGAUUAAUACCGCAUACGCCCCACGGGGGAAAGGCCGGGAUCUUCGGACCGGUCACUAUUGGAGGAGCCUGCGUAGGAUUAGCUUGUUGGUGAGGUAAAGGCUCACCAAGGCUACGAUCCUUAGCUGGUCUGAGAGGACGAUCAGCCACACUGGAACUGAGACACGGUCCAGACUCCUACGGGAGGCAGCAGUAGGGAAUAUUGCGCAAUGGGCGAAAGCCUG